AUAGCGUAUAUUAAAGUUGUUGCAGUUAAAAAGCUCGUAGUUGAAUUUUAGAUCUGGUUGGGCGGUCUGCCUGUUGGGUACGUACUGUCUGGCCGGAUCUGACCUUCUGGUAACCACCAUGUUGCUUUGCAAUGUGGUUUGGGAUUCCAGAUCUUUUACUUUGAAAAAAUUAGAGUGUUUAAAGCAGGCAUUCGCUUGAAUACAUUAGCAUGGAAUAAUAGAAUAGGACUUGGGUUCUAUUUUGUUGGUUUCUAGGACCAAAGUAAUGAUUAAUAGGGAUAGUUGGGGGCAUUAGUAUUUAAUUGUCAGAGGUGAAAUUCUUGGAUUUAUUAAAGACUAACUUCUG
rnacentral:rRNA from 1 species